GACGAACGCUGGCGGCGUGCUUAACACAUGCAAGUCGAACGGAGCGAAUGAAAGCUUGCUUUUAUAAGCUUAGUGGCAAACGGGUGAGUAACACGUAGGCAACCUGCCGACAGGAUGGGGACAACAUUCCGAAAGGAAUGCUAAUACCGAAUGAAGCGCAGGAGAGGCAUCUCUCCUGCGUGAAAGAUGGCCUCUAUAUAUAAGCUAUCACCUGUCGAUGGGCCUGCGUCUGAUUAGCUGGUAGGUGAGGUAACGGCUCACCUAGGCGACGAUCAGUAGCCGGUCUGAGAGGAUGAACGGCCACAUUGGGACUGAGACACGGCCCAGACUCCUACGGGAGGCAGCAGUGGGGAAUCUUCCGCAAUGGGCGCAAGCCUGACGGAGCAACGCCGCGUGAGUGAAGAAGGUCUUCGGAUCGUAAAGCUCUGUUGAUGGGGACGAACGUGCCUAAUGCGAAUAGUAUUAGGCAA
rnacentral:rRNA from 1 species